rnacentral:rRNA from 1 species
GACGUAGGGCGCGAGCGUUGUCCGGAUUUAUUGGGCGUAAAGAGCUCGUAGGCGGCUUGUUGCGUCGACUGUGAAAACCCGCGGCUUAACCGCGGGCCUGCAGUUGAUACGGGCAGGCUAGAGUUCGGUAGGGGAGACUGGAAUUCCUGGUGUAGCGGUGAAAUGCGCAGAUAUCAGGAGGAACACCGGUGGCGAAGGCGGGUCUCUGGGCCGAUAUUGACGCUGAGGAGCGAAAGCGUGGGGAGCGAACAGG